rnacentral:rRNA from 1 species
GACGAACGCUGGCGGCGUGCUUAACACAUGCAAGUCGAACGGAAAGGCCCUGCUUUUGUGGGGUGCUAGAGUGGCGAACGGGUGAGUAACACGUGAGUAACAUGCUCUUGACUUUGGGAUAACUUCAGGAAACUGGGGCUAAUACCGGAUAGGAGCUCCUGCUGCAUGGUGGGGGUUGGAAAGUUUCGGCGGUUGGGGAUGGACUCGCGGCUUAUCAGCUUGUUGGUGGGGUAGUGGCUUACCAAGGCUUUGACGGGUAGCCGGCCUGAGAGGGUGACCGGCCACAUUGGGACUGAGAUACGGCCCAGACUCCUACGGGAGGCAGCAGUGGGGAAUAUUGCACAAUGGGCGGAAGCCUGAUGCAGCAACGCCGCGUGCGGGAUGACGGCCUUCGAGUUGUAAACCGCUUUCGCCUGUGACGAAGCGUGAGUGACGGUAAUGGGUAAAGAAGCACCGGCUAACUACGUG